rnacentral:rRNA from 1 species
UACGUAGGGUGCGAGCGUUGUCCGGAAUUAUUGGGCGUAAAGAGCUUGUAGGCGGUUUGUCGCGUCUGCCGUGAAAAUCCGGGGCUCAACCCCGGACUUGCGGUGGGUACGGGCAGACUAGAGUGUGGUAGGGGAGACUGGAAUUCCUGGUGUAGCGGUGAAAUGCGCAGAUAUCAGGAGGAACACCGGUGGCGAAGGCGGGUCUCUGGGCCAAUACUGACGCUCAUGCACGAAAGCGUGGGGAGCAAACAGG